AUUGAACGCUGGCGGCAUGCCUAACACAUGCAAGUCGAGCGAGCGGCGGACGGGUGAGUAAUGUCUGGGAAACUGUCUGUUGGCGGGGGAUCACUAUUGGAAACGGUAGCUAAUACCGCACACCAUCAGAUGUGCCCAGAUGGGAUUAGCUAGUAGGUGGGGUAACGGCUCACCUAGGCGACGAUCCCUAGCUGGUCUGAGAGGAUGACCAGCCACAAUGGAACUGAGACACGGUCCAGACUCCCACGGGAGGCAGCAGUGGGGAAUAUUGCACAAUGGGCGCAAGCCUGAUGCAGCCAUGCCGCGUGUGUGAAGAAGGCCUUCGGGUUGUAAAGCACUUUCAGCGGGGAGGCGUUACCCGCAGAAGAAGCACCGGCUAACUCCGUGCCAGCAGCCGCGGUAAUAC
rnacentral:rRNA from 1 species